GUAGCUCAUCCGGGUCAAAAGGCGUCAGCAUGGACACGGGGGAUGUUCUUGCAUCUCUGGGGGUAGAGGGAGCCACUGCGGCUGCGCAUGCGCUCUCUCUUCCAGCAGAGGCGUAUGGAAAUGAUGCCCAACUGGAAGUAAUGUGGGCUAUGAAAGCCUACAAUCACGCAGAAGUUUACUAUAAUGUAAGUGAAUGAGUGUCACAAUCUGUCCUGUCAGUUGGAUC